rnacentral:sRNA from 1 species
AAUCAGUGUCGGGAACUUCUGCAGGGCACUUCAGAAUCAGUGUCGGGAACUUCUGCAUUCUAUUUUUCACGGACACAGACAGGAACACUGACAUGCAAAAGCAAAACAAUCAAAAAGCAUUUUCAUUUGUUUUCCAGGUGAGGCCGGCAGAGAACAAGAAGAGCUGAAACGGAGGCGAGGUUAGUACCCAGCAAAGACCCGUGGCGAGGAGAGACAAUGAAGAGGACCAUGGGACUGAACCCUGAGAAAGGCAGAGGAGACGCUGGCUGGUGGGGCCUUCCCGGCGGACGGGUGAUGGACAGCCUGUGUCUCCAAUCGCGUUCUUAAAAGGGUGCGGGAAGGCCAAUGAGCGGACAGCGAGGGCCGGAGCGGGGUUGAGGCUUGGGUGCAGAGCUGGAGAACCGCGGCUGGGGCCGGAGU